GAUGAACGCUGGCGGCGUGCCUAAUACAUGCAAGUCGAGCGAAUGGAUUAAGAGCUUGCUCUUAUGAAGUUAGCGGCGGACGGGUGAGUAACACGUGGGUAACCUGCCCAUAAGACUGGGAUAACUCCGGGAAACCGGGGCUAAUACCGGAUAACAUUUUGAGCCGCAUGGUUCGAAAUUGAAAGGCGGCUUCGGCUGUCACUGAGGGAUGGACCCGCGUCGCAUUCGCUAGUUGGGGAGGUAACGGCUCACCAAGGCAACGAUGCGUAGCCGACCUGAGAGGGUGAUCGGCCAAACUGGGACUGAGACACGGCCCAGACUCCUACGGGAGGCAGCAGUAGGGAAUCUUCCGCAAUGGACGAAAGUCUGACGGAGCAACGCCGCGUGAGUGAUGAAGGCUUUCGGGUCGUAAAACUCUGUUGUUAGGGAAGAACAAGUGCUAGUUGAAUAAGCUGGCACCUUGACGGUACCUAACCAGAAAGCCACGGCUAACUACGUGCCAGCAGCCGCCGUAA
rnacentral:rRNA from 1 species